UCUAUAUGUCCUCCGUCCAACAAAAGAUGUUUCAAGUUCGUCAAAAAUUGGAUGUAUCUAGACAUGACUUAAUGUAUAGAAAAUGCAUUUAAAUUUAGUCAAAGUUGAGACAUCCCUUGUUGGACGGAGGGAGUAUAAA
rnacentral:pre_miRNA from 1 species